GUUUUAAUAGUUUAAUAAAAAUAAUGAUUUUGUAAAUCAUAGAUAGGGAUUCCUUUAAAACA
rnacentral:tRNA from 1 species